rnacentral:lncRNA from 1 species
UUUUCUGGAGGAGGUGGAGCCUGGGGACUGAGAGCAAGAGAGAAAGAGAGCCUGUGAGAUAAUAGGCUGUUCUGGGACCAGUGUGAUGGCUCUUAAACUCCCAGCUGAUGCCCGCACAGCAGGACUGCUCCACGAUCAAAGCAAGGGCAAGCUCUUCCACUGAGAGGUCAGUUUAGCAGUGAUUGAUUGAAGUCAAGCUCCGUUGAACACAUCCCAAAGAGUCAAGGGAGACAGCAGUGUAAAAGUACAUUUUCAAGACUCCCAGCCCACACGCAGGUCACUCUGAAGAAUCAGUCAGUGCAUGUUUUUGAGAGCACGUUCCCAUUGACUGAACCCCCUGUCAGUUGGGUGGCCCUCUUAGUGUGAAGUUUGGUAAUGCGUGAAAAACAUCUCCAGGUCGAAUGUGUGUGGCCCAUUCAAACCAUUCUUUAGUCUUAGUCAAAGAAAUUCACUUCUUUAAAAACAGUCUAGCAUUUGUUUUAUCUACAGUAGGUGACAUUUAGUUAUCACUUUAACAUAAAAAACAAAACCCC